rnacentral:rRNA from 1 species
AAUAUUGGACAAUGGGGGCAACCCUGAUCCAGCCAUGCCGCGUGCGUGAAGGAGGUCUNCGGAUUNUNAAGCACUUUCAGUUGGGNGGAUGGGCUUUAGGUUAAUACCCUUAAUUUUGGACGUUACCAACAGAAUAAGCACCGGCUAACUCUGUGCCAGCAGCCGCGGUAAUACAGAGGGUGCAAGCGUUAAUCGGAAUUACUGGGCGUAAAGCGCACGUAGGUGGUUCAGUAAGAUGGGUGUGAAAUCCCCGGGCUUAACCUGGGAACUGCUUUCAUAACUGCUGAGCUAGAGUACGGUAGAGAGUAGUGGAAUUUCCUGUGUAGCGGUGAAAUGCGUAGAUAUAGGAAGGAACACCAGUGGCGAAGGCGACUACCUGGACUGAUACUGACACUGAGGUGCGAAAGCGUGGGGAGCAAAC